ensembl:lncRNA
UGAAUCAGGAUGAUUGUGGAUGUGUUUUUCAGUGAGGAAUGAAACUGCAGCGACUCCAAACUCAGAUCUCCUGAAUGAAGUGACUCCAGAUCUCCAUCAUUCAGUAGAUCACUUCUGGUGGCUUUUGGCUGUUUUCAUCAUUGUUCUUCUCAUCAUCUUCUUGAUCCGUAAAAGGAUCUUCAGAUGUUUUCAGAGGUUCAUCUGUCAGCGUGACGAAGAUGAUUCAGAAAACAGGGAUCCUGAAGCUGCUGUCCAAAUGAUCUGAUGCUCCUGAUUCACUGAAUCAAUCUGAAUCUGAACAGUUAAACGGCUCCCUGUCCAGGGUUUGAAUCGACUCCUUAUUUACUCAAACUCAGGGCUUAACGUCACUGUGAUCUUUGACAUGAAGAUGAAGGAAGUUUGUGUUCAUUCUGAGCUUCUCAACAGAUUUAUUCUCCAUCAUCUGCAUCUGUAAUUCAAAUAAAUACAUGAAAUGGAAAAACA